rnacentral:tRNA from 8 species
GCAGAUGUGGUGGAAUUGGUAGACACGCUAGCUUCAGGUGCUAGUGCCCGUAAGGGCGUGAGAGUUCAAGUCUCUCCAUCUGUACCA